UAGGUCUGCAAAUGGAAGGAUAAAACUGAGGUUUUUUGUUUAAAAGAAUCAUGAAUAUAGGAGAUAUGAUGCUUCAAAGGCACUUAUAGAACACAAAUUUUAAUUAUCUGUCAUUAUCAUUAUUUAUUGUAGUAUUCAAUACUUAUUUGUAGACCUUAUAGCAUUUGGAGUAGUUUCUUGAAAGGAUCAUGAUAGCUGCCAUUGUGAAAGGGGUGUGGCUUAAGGCAAACACGGAUGGUAGGCACUAAUUGUGCUAAUUGCCAAGAGUCUCCAAUCCCUCUAACAGUCGUAUAUCUAUG